rnacentral:lncRNA from 1 species
AUAGAUACAACUCAAAAUAUAUAUAAAAAAAUAAUAAUAAAGUAUAGAAUCCGAGAAAUAAAAAUGUUCCAAAAGACGAUGUAUAUCUAGAGACCUUGAUCAACAAGAUAAUCUCCCAGCCUCUCGACAACCAUGUUGCAUUGUCCUGGAGUCACAGGUUCCUCAUAAAUACCAAAAACUAAAGCUUGACCAGUUUUCUUUAUGGUGAUUCCUCCAGAUCCCUACAAAAUAUGAGAGUGUUAGAGUUAAGGUAAAAGUUAAAAAAAAAAGGUAAACUUUUUAAAGAGGUGAACUUUAAAUUUAAAUACCUUCUUUCCACGGAUAACAGCUCCAGGCUCUCCUUGAAUUACCAUGUAUUUGGUUCCAGCAAGGUGCAAACCUGUAGGAGCAAGAUGACCUGGUUCGUCGAAAUCUUUCAUGAUAUCAGAGACCUCUUGAGAUUUAAUCUACAGAAGAAGUAAGAAAAUUAGGAGGUAUGUCAAUUUAUAAGUAUAAGUAGAAAGAAUUAGGAAGAUUGAUUACCUGAGGAAAAGAAGUGCUUUGAGCCCAAACAGAGCCAUCGUGACCGAUGAUGGCAGCUGCAGUGAGAUGGUGGCCUGUGCCAUCAAUAUCACACAUCAAAUGUUCAUCGACGUAAGUCUGCCAAGACAUUUUCUUCUUUGUCUUUUGUUUUUGUGAUGCUUCUAAUGUGAUUAUGUUUCUGUCUCUGUUUGUCAACUUUAAAUUUAGUUUUAAAUAAGAGUUUGAUCAUGGAUUCAUGGAUGGAAGUUGAUGCUCCUUCUACCUUCUCUUUCUCUCCAUCCAUUUCUUGCCACAACUUCACUUUCUCCUUAUUUCUAGGAUCAAACCUUUUUAUUUUCCUAUUCUUAUUCUCAUUCUUUUAUGUCCACAAAUAGAUUAGAUAUACCUAAUUCAUCCAUCACAAUUAUUAUUCUUCUUAUUUUUUUGUUUAUGAAUAAUUAAAGAAUAUAAGAAUAAAAUGCUACAUAGUUUACGUUCUGCUAGAUAAAGAAAUACAAAGAUAUAUGACACUGUUGUACUUUGAACCCGAGUUCUGACAUUUACUUGAGG